UACAGAGGGGCGAGCGUUGUUCGGAAUUACUGGGCGUAAAGGCGCGUAGGCGGCCUGCUAAGUCGGACGUGAAAUCCCUCGGCUCAACCGGGGAACUGCGUCCGAUACUGGUUGGCUUGAAUUCGGGAGAGGGAUGCGGAAUUCCAGGUGUAGCGGUGAAAUGCGUAGAUAUCUGGAGGAACACCGGUGGCGAAGGCGGCAUCCUGGACCGAGAUUGACGCUGAUGCGCGAAAGCCAGGGGAGCAAAGCGGG
rnacentral:rRNA from 1 species